rnacentral:lncRNA from 1 species
CACCAGGCCCAUCUCCAACACUGGAGGUCACAUUUCAACAUGGGAUUUGUAGGGGACACACAUCCAAACUAUAUCAGUUGGUGCUCAUUAUUGUCACCCAUUUUACAGAUUGGGAAGGUGAGGAACAGAGGGGUGGAGAAACUUACCUAAGGUCACACAGAGUAAGUGGGAGAGCUGGGAUUUUGGCCACAGUAUUUUGGAUCCAGAGUUUGUGUAGAUGACCACUCUGCUGUACUACCAAGAAUUCAACCAAAGGCUGAGUACCGUGGAGAAGGCA